CCUACGGGAGGCAGCAGUGGGGAAUAUUGCGCAAUGGGCGAAAGCCUGACGCAGCGACGCCGCGUGAGGGAUGAAGGUCUUCGGAUUGUAAACCUCUGUCAGCAGGGAAGAAAGGUCACUGUGCUAAUGAGCAGCGAAUUGACGGUACCUGCAAAGGAAGCACCGGCUAACUCCGUGCCAGCAGCCCCGGUAAAACGGUGGGUGCGCGCGUUAAUCGGAAUGGCUGGGCGUAACGCGCUCGUAGGACGGAAUUCAAGUCAAGUGGGAAAUCCCCGCGCUUCACGUGGGAACUGCCUUUGAAACUGGCAAACUGGAGCGUGUGAGAGGUUAGUGGAAUUCCAGGUGUAGGAGUGAAAUCCGUAGAUAUCUGGAGGAACAUCAGUUGCGAAGGCGACUCUCUGGCACCUAACUGACGCUGAGGAGCGAAAGCGUGGGUAGCAAACAGGAUUAGAUACCCUUGUAGUC
rnacentral:rRNA from 1 species